rnacentral:lncRNA from 1 species
GUCUUCCUCGCGUCUCCUGCGGGAGCUUCGCCGCCGCUGCCCUCGGCGCUGAGAGCUUGCGGAGCCGAGCUGCUGUCGAGUCCCAGCUGAAAGAAGUCCAAGGUGCCGGAGAAGCCCAGUCGUGGACGUUCUCGCUCCCUCAUCUUCGAGACCCGCACGCCCUACGGAGAGGAAAUGACAGGCACGCCGUGACCGUGGGGCGGUGCUCGCGCGAGCUCCGGGUUUCUCGAGUCCGGGGCCGGGCCGGGGCCGUGAAAGGCAGAGUGGCGCGGGGAAGGCCCAGUACCCCGCCCCUUCCGCACCGACCCCUCCCCCGCGGAGCUGGUCCAGGCCCCAGGCCUGUGGACUGGACCCCGAGGGCGGCGGGCGGCUGCCGAGUUGGGCAGCACGGAAGCUGCCGGCGGGAGCGGAGCUGCGAGGAGAUGGCCUUUGAGGGCAGCGCGGGGUCGAAAUACCAUCCCAGCGCUGUGACCUCUUGGAGCCCACGUUUCCUCUUUGGUGGAGGGGAGGGAGUGGUCCAGAUUCAGAGUCCCUUGCAGUUCGGAGCGGAGCCUGGGAGCUGAAUGACCCAGUGUGCAAGGCGCACCUCGGAGACAGAAAGCAACCGCUCCCCCGGCUUCAAUUUCACACCACCUGCAGAUACACAUCUCAGAAUCUGCGGCUAGGAAGACCUGGGCCGCCAGAAGCUAAGCGUGUGCAUUUUAUCAUCGGCCCUUGGUUUCUCGUUUUAGAGUGAGUUCCCACCUGCCCUACCUAAACUGACCUGAAACGGAAAGUUGUAUGCCCCCACGGCUGUCCUCACUGCAGAACUGCAGAGGGUUUUAAGCUCCUUAUUACCUGUUUCUUAUAACCCUGUCCCUUUCCAGGCGAGUAUUUAUUGGAUAUUUCUACUUGUUUUGUCAAACUUCCUUUUCUUUUGACUUUAUAAAAAGCAAUGCCGGGAGGCUGAGGCAGGAGAAUCGCUUGAACCCGGGAGACGGAGGUUGCAGUGAGCUGAGAUCUCGCCAUUGCACUCCAGUCUGGGCAAAAAGAGCGAAACUCUGUCUCAAAAAAAGAAAAAAAAAAUGCUCGUCCUUAAAAUUAUGUGCAGAAGCUUACUGAAAAGUACAAGUUACUAUUUUUCCUUCUGAAGUACUCCUCACAGGUAACCUUAAAAUGCUUAAAACACGUAAUUGUUGAAUGAAUAAAUGCCCCUCAGUGAAUUUCCUUUGCCGUUACAAACAUAUGUACGUACCUUGCUUUUUCUGUUUAACAGUAUACUUUUAUCAUUUAACAUCUGCGUGAUAUAGUAUUCCAUCCGAUGGUUGUAUUAUUAUUUAACCACUCCGCUAUUAAUAGACAUUCAUGUUGUUUGUAUUUUUUGGUUAUUAUAAACAUUGUUGCAGGCGAGAUCAUUGAACAACACAUGGAGUGUCUGACUCAAGCCUUGAGUUGUUUUUUCGGGAGCUGAGAAUCAGUGUGAUGUGGAAAGAAGAUGAGCUUGGAAUCUGAAGGUAGUGGCCAGGGAGAAGAGCUGCUCAUGUGCUCCCAAUAGAAAGUCCCCCUUGGUCUGUAAGGUUAGGGCUAUCCUCUGACUCAGCAAUUUUAGGAAACUGAGAAGGAAGCCUCAGUGGAGCCACCAGGGAGGCACACCCAGCCCUGACCAGCCAGUGGUCCUCCCAGCUUAUCUUCACAACCUGGGCUGGAGUGGGGAAUACUUUUGUUCCAGUGCUAGCUUUGGAAUCCUGGCCUCCAUCCCUUAAAAGCUUUUUGAUCUUAGGUAAGUCACAUCACACUAUCUCAGAGCCCCCGGUUCCUCACAGAAUGGUUGUUUUAGAGUUAUGUUGGUAAAUUACCUGGCACAUACAGGCAUGUGACAGACUGUAACCAAUGUUACUCAAGGUCAUUUUGCACUGAUUCAUACUUUGAGCCAUUUCCUACUGUACACUUGCACACAUUUUCAAGGUAGCUUCCUGAUAAUAGGGUUGUGGGAUAUUUUUGGGAAAUAAAUCCAAAUUGGCCAUUAAAACCAGAUUCCUGACUUUGCCUGGAUGUGUCAUCUGGAAAGCAAUCUGCAUGAAUUCCUUCAUUUCUUUGGUAACUAUUUAAUGAGUACUUAUGUGCCACGGAUUGCAGAGGGUAUAAGAACAGAGCCUUAGGCCGGACGCGGUGGCUCACGCCUGUAAUCCCAGCACUUUGGGAGGCCGAGGCGGGAGGAUCACGAGGUCAGGAGUUCAAGACCAGCCUGGCCAAGAUGGUGAAACCCCGUUUCUACUAAAAAUACAAAAA